rnacentral:rRNA from 1 species
CCUACGGGUGGCUGCAGUAGGGAAUAUUGCUCAAUGGGGGGAAACCCUGAAGCAGCAACGCCGCGUGGAGGAUGAAGGUUUUAGGAUUGUAAACUCCUUUUGUUAGAGAAGAUUAUGACGGUAUCUAACCAAUCAGCACCGGCUAACUCCGAGCCAGCAGCCGCGGUAAUACGGAGGGUGCAAGCUUUACUCGGAAUCACUGGGCGUAAAGAGUGCGUAGGCGGGUUAAUAAGUCAGGUGUGAAAUCCUGGAGCUUAACUACAGAAGUGCAUUUGAAACUGUUACUCUGGAGUGGGGGAGAGGUAGGUGGAAUUCUUGGUGUAGGGGUAAAAUGCGUAGAGAUCAAGAGGAAUACUCAUUGCGAAGGCGGCCUGCUGGAACAUUACUGACGCUGAUGCACGAAAGCGUGGGGAGCAAACAGGAUUAGAUACCCGAGUAGUC